GUUGAAACUGUGGCUCAGUGGUACAGCUCUCGCCUAGCAUGCGUGAGGCACUGAGUUCAAUCCUCAUCACCACA
rnacentral:tRNA from 1 species